AUGUGAUCUGAUCUUCAUUUAGUGUUACAGAAAUAAAUUGUAAGAAUUAUUUCAGAUUUUCAUGGUCAGUUCUUUGCAUGUAUAAAGGCUAUUAUCAUAGCACACACACGGUUUGAAGUACGAUAAAUGAAUUGAAGAUAUAUUGCUUUUGCAAUAAAUGAGCAACUUUGCUUAAUUUAAUGUAGGGCUGAAAGCAUGGCAACAUUGGCGCCACCGUCUCUUCUAUCCCAGAAGGUUUCCCCCUAAAGACCGUUAGGGAUGUGGAAGUCAUGGAAGGAAAACUGGCAAAUCUUCAUGUCCAAACUGGUUGCAGCUGUGACUGACAUAGGGGGGACAACUGUUGACGAGGCCACAAGAAGGAUGAUGACCUUCCUCCUAGACCAUGGCCUAUCCAGGCAGUACAACUUUGUGGGCCAAACGGGAUGAGAGAGUUCAAGGCCUUACAACUGAGGUUUAAAGAAAAACGGCAUGACCAGCCAAAUCAUUGGUGCUAGGGACCGGGGGGCAUGUUUUCUUAAUUUUACAUAAAUAAAAA